GCAGGUAGAGUAACAGUUCAUCAUCAAGCCAUAAAUGGCCCUGUAGAACAGCAGGUAGAGUAACAGUUCAUCAUCAAGCCCCAGUGUAACUCCUUAGUAGAGUAACUCUUCAUCAUCAUCAAGCCAUAAAUGGCCCUGUAGAACAGCAGGUAGAGUAACAGUUCAUCAUCAAGCCAUAAAUGGCCCUGUAGAACAGCAGGUAGAGUAACAGUUCAUCAUCAAGCCCCAGUGUAACUCCUUAGUAGAGUAACUCUUCAUCAUCAUCAAGC